rnacentral:lncRNA from 1 species
GGCAUACAUGUAUAUUAAAAUCAUCAUUAAAUUAAUAAAUAAGCCCAACAACUAUCUUAUGCUAUCUAAACACAUUAGAAAUAUUAAUAGGCCCAUCAGAAUUUCAAGCCCAAGUAUUUUGGAAGCCCAAUCAGAUUAAUACAUCUCCUCUCAUUUCUUCUCUUUUCCUCACGCAGACCUGCUCAAACCCUCUCUUUCCUUUCACUCCCACUCUCAGUCGUCUCUCUCCCUCUCUACCUUUCCGGCGAAUGUCGCCGGCUCUCGCCGCUCCCAGCGCGGCGAGGGUGACGCAUCUUCUCCCCUUCCGCUUUCUUCCCUCUCCUUUCUACAUUUAAUUCCCCAAAUUCUAAAAUCAAUUCAACCUAGGGUUUUCAAUCUCCCCCAUCAAUUGUACUCCUCUGGCGAAUCCCGGCGAAUAACGUCGCCGCCGCCCCAGCUCGUCGGAUUUCCGCUCCUCCGUCGUUCUUCCUGUCUCAGGUAAGCCCUCCCUCUAUCUCUUCUUCUCUAUAUAUUCUCCCUCUCAGUUUCUCUCAAUCUGCCCCUCUCGAUUUCUCUCUCUCUCUCUGUUCUGUUCGCGACGGCCGCUGCGAGCCGCGACGGCGCAUGCAGCGCCGGGGGUGGCCGCCGCCCCUGCUCCGCCUCCCUCUCCCUCUCGCGUCUCACUCUCUGUCUCUGUCUCUGUCUCUGUCUCUGUCUCUGUCUCUGUCUCUGUCUUUACUCUCUGUUUUCCUCUCCCUCGCUCAAAUUCUCUGUUGUUGGCAGCCACCGCGGACCGCCGUGGCGCGGGCAGCGCUGGCGGUCGCGCCUCCGCCGCGGUGGUUCGCGACUGCUGCUGCCGCUUGCCUCUUCUUCCUCCUCUGUUUCUGUUUCUCUUACUUUUCUUUCUUUUCUAGUUUAAUAGCUUGUUUAGCAGAUCCUUAACUAUUUCCUUAUUUCAGGAAUUGUUGAUUCGAGUCCGGCGAGGCAGUCCGUCUCUUGAUAGCGCAGCUCAAGUUUCUAUUUUUUUCUUAUUCUGUAAAUUAUUCUAUUUUGUUGAUUUAGCGACAAAUUGAUAUUUGAUGGGAAAAAAAACAUACUAUUGUUUGUAGAAAUUAGAGUUAGGGACUGUUGCAACUAUGCUUGUAUCUACUUGUGAAGUUCUUGGUUAUUCCUCUGUACAUAAAUAUUGAAUUGUACUGUAUGAAAAGGAAAACUACCUGCUUGAUGAAUUGAUUUGCUGUGAAAGCUUGUUGGAACAACUGAUUGUGGCAGAUUUUGUGUUUGGAUGGAUGAUUGCUGGUAUGUUUACGAUUGCCAUAAUUGGGAUAUACUGGUUUGAGGCGGUUGUGAAAGAGCUGCGUCAAAAGUUGAAGGCUACGUGUUGGCUAGAUACAUAAUUAGGA